rfam:Nippostrongylus brasiliensis genome assembly, scaffold: NBR_scaffold0006151
ACAUCGGUAGCACAGUGGUUAGUGCAGUCUGCCGGAAACAGAAAGACGGGGGUUCAAUUCCCGUCCGAUGUC